rnacentral:rRNA from 1 species
UGGUGGAGUGAUCUGUCUGGUUGAUUCCGUUAACGAACGAGACCUCAGCCUACUAAUUAGUCAGCCGGAGUCUGAUCUCCGUCAUAGUUGACUUCUUAGAGGGACUAUCUUGCGCGUAGCAGAUGGAAGUUUGAGGCAAUAACA